rnacentral:rRNA from 1 species
GACGAACCGUGCAAACGUUGUUCGGAAUCACUGGGCUUAAAGGGCGCGUAGGCGGGCGUCAAGUCAGGGGUGAAAUCCCCCAGCUCAACUGGGGAACUGCCUCUGAUACUGGGUGCCUCGAGUGAGGUAGGGGCGUGCGGAACUGAUGGUGGAGCGGUGAAAUGUGUUGAUAUCAUCAGGAACUCCGGUGGCGAAAGCGGCGCGCUGGACCUUAACUGACGCUGAUGCGCGAAAGCCAGGGGAGCAAACGGG